rnacentral:rRNA from 1 species
UACGAAGGGGGCUAGCGUUGCUCGGAAUUACUGGGCGUAAAGGGCGCGUAGGCGGCACUGUUAGUCAGGCGUGAAAGUCCUGGGCUCAACCUGGGAACUGCGCUUGAUACGGCAGAGCUAGAGGAUGGAAGAGGGUCGCGGAAUUCCCGGUGUAGAGGUGAAAUUCGUAGAUAUUGGGAAGAACACCGGUGGCGAAGGCGGCGACCUGGUCCAUUACUGACGCUGAGGCGCGACAGCGUGGGGAGCAAACAGG